UACGGAGGGUGCAAGCGUUAAUCGGAAUUACUGGGCGUAAAGCGUGCGUAGGUGGUUUGUUAAGUCCGUUGUGAAAGCCCCCGAGCUCAACUUGGGAAUUGCAGUGGAUACUGGCAAGCUGGAGUGCGGUAGAGGAAGGUGGAAUUCCCGGUGUAGCGGUGAAAUGCGUAGAGAUCGGGAGGAACACCAGUGGCGAAGGCGGCCUUCUGGACCAGCACUGACACUCAAGCACGAAAGCGUGGGGAGCAAACAGG
rnacentral:rRNA from 1 species